ACCUCGCUAGUGCUCGGCUCGUAACACGUUCAAUGCGAGUUCGAUGUCCAGUAUGAAUUUGGUCUAGUGUAUUAAAGAGGAGGAGUAUUAAGAAUAAAAUUGACAAUGACAGCCAUCUGUGGACUCAACAUAGCGGCUCAAUUCUUCCACUACCAUCGAUAGCUGUGCACAUUAUAGUCUAAUUUAACGUAAUUGCACAGUGAAAAAUCCUAUCAGUCUCAAAUCGCAGUGCUACAUUUAUGAUAUGCAGACCGCGUCAAACCUUGCCGUACAGAUGUAUAGCUUCAAGGCUAAUCCCGCCGCAGCUAAAAGGUUAAUAAAUCAAUCACGAUUGUUUAUACCUGAUAUCUUAUAAUGAUCUUGAAGAAGUAAUUUACCAAGCACGUUUCAAUAUUACGAUAAAAAUGUUGAUUGAAAAUAACUGAAGAGAAAGAAACGACGUGUUAUGUACACCCCAUGAAUUCAGAUCUUUCAAUCAAAAUCAAAUCAGAUCGGCAUAGAUAAGCGGGUAAAGGUAUAAAGGAUGUUAUUACGGGCAAGUAUAAUUCUCGUUUAAUUUCCUGAUCCUAGUUGAUCCGCAAAACAGAGCAGCUCGCGUUAAAGUGGUUCACUAUCGUAUACUUUUUAUCCUUCCUCUGAUCUUAAUUAAUUUCAGUUGCCUAUUAGUCGACUUAAGAGGUGACCUCGGUAAGCAGAUAUUGCGUCAGUAUUUCUCGUGAUGGAAGACGAUGAAUCAGCUAUUUGACCGGUCCGCGAAUCAAAAGAUCAGUGGUUCCGUUUUACCAACGUGAGAAGACAAAGCAUAAUUGUAUUGAAAUAUACGACUUGUAUAAUGGAAAGACAUUGCAAAAUCUCAAGGUUUAAGUCUUUUUUUGCAUUCAUA